AUUGAACGCUGGCGGCAUGCCUUACACAUGCAAGUCGAACGGUAACAGGCCGCAAGGUGCUGACGAGUGGCGAACGGGUGAGUAAUGCAUCGGAACGUGCCCAGUCGUGGGGGAUAACGCAGCGAAAGCUGCGCUAAUACCGCAUACGAUCUCUGGAUGAAAGCGGGGGACCGAAAGGCCUCGCGCGAUUGGAGCGGCCGAUGUCAGAUUAGGUAGUUGGUGGGGUAAAGGCCCACCAAGGCGACGAUCUGUAGCUGGUCUGAGAGGACGACCAGCCACACUGGGACUGAGACACGGCCCAGACUCCUACGGGAGGCAGCAGUGGGGAAUUUUGGACAAUGGGCGCAAGCCUGAUCCAGCAAUGCCGCGUGCAGGAAGAAGGCCUUCGGGUUGUAAACUGCUUUUGUACGGAAUGAAACGGUCUGGGUUAAUACCCUGGGCUAAUGACGGUACCGUAAGAAUAAGCACCGGCUAACUACGUGCCAGCCGCCGCAGUAACAC
rnacentral:rRNA from 1 species